rnacentral:rRNA from 1 species
GGUACUGACGGAGCAACGCCGCGUGAGUGACGAAGGUUUUCGGAUCGUAAAACUCUGUUGUGAGGGAAGAACAAGUACCAAGUAACUACUGGUACCUUUGACGGUACCUCACCCAGAAAGCCACGGCAACUUACGUGCCAGCAGCCGCGGUAAUACGUAGGUGGCAAGCGUUGUCCGGAAUUAUUUGGGCGUAAAGCGCGCGCAGGCGGUCCCCUUAAGUCUGAUGUGAAAGCCCACGGCUCAACCGUGGACGGGUCGAUUGGAAACUUGGGGGACUUCGAGUGUCAGAAGUAGGAAAGUGGAAUUCCACGUGUUAGCGUGAAAUGCGUAGAGAUGUGAGGAACACCAUGGCGAAGCGACUUUCUGUCUGUACUGACGCUGAGCGCGAAAGCGUGGGAGCAAACAGGAUUAGAUACCCUGGUUAGUCCACGCCGUAAACGAUGAGUGCGUAAGUGUUAGGGGGUUUCCGCCCCGUUAGUGCUGCAGCUAACGCAUUAAGCACUCCGCCUGGGGAGUACGGCCGCAAGGCUGUAAACUCAAAGGAACUUGACGGUGGUCGACGCGGCCCG